UAGGGAAUCUUCGGCAAUGGGGGCAACCCUGACCGAGCAACGCCGCGUGAGUGAAGAAGGUUUUCGGAUCGUAAAGCUCUGUUGUAAGUCAAGAACGAGUGUGAGAGUGGAAAGUUCACACUGUGACGGUAGCUUACCAGAAAGGGACGGCUAACUACGUGCCAGCAGCCGCGGUAAUACGUAGGUCCCGAGCGUUGUCCGGAUUUAUUGGGCGUAAAGCGAGCGCAGGCGGUUUGAUAAGUCUGAAGUUAAAGGCUGUGGCUCAACCAUAGUUCGCUUUGGAAACUGUCAAACUUGAGUGCAGAAGGGGAGAGUGGAAUUCCAUGUGUAGCGGUGAAAUGCGUAGAUAUAUGGAGGAACACCGGUGGCGGAAGCGGCUCUCUGGUCUGUAACUGACGCUGAGGCUCGAAAGCGUGGGGAGCGAACAGGAUUAGAUACCCUGGUAGUCCACGCCGUAAAACGAUGAGUGCUAGGUGUUGGGUCCUUUCCGGGAUUCAGUGCCGCAGCUAACGCAUUAANCACUCCGCCUGGGGGAGUACGACCGCAAGGUU
rnacentral:rRNA from 1 species